GUAGUGAUGGCCGAGUGGUUAAGGUGUCUGACUCGAAAUCAGAUGGGAUCUUCCCGCGUAGGUUCGAAUCCUACUCACUGCG
rnacentral:tRNA from 1 species